AUACGAAGGGGGCUAGCGUUGUUUGGAAUUACUGGGCGUAAAGCGCGCGUAGGCGGACUGAUCAGUUGGGGGUGAAAUCCCAGGGCUUAACCCUGGAACUGCCUCCAAUACUGUCAGUCUUGAGUUCGGGAGAGGUGAGUGGAAUUCCUAGUGUAGAGGUGAAAUUCGUAGAUAUUAGGAAGAACACCAGUGGCGAAGGCGGCUCACUGGCCCGAUACUGACGCUGAGGCGCGAAAGCGUGGGGAGCAAACAGGAUUAGAAACCCCAGUAGUCC
rnacentral:rRNA from 1 species